GACGAACGCUGGCGGCGUGCUUAACACAUGCAAGUCGAACGGAAAGGCCCUGCUUGCAGGGUACUCGAGUGGCGAACGGGUGAGUAACACGUGGGUGAUCUGCCCUGCACUUCGGGAUAAGCCUGGGAAACUGGGUCUAAUACCGGAUAGGAGCCAUUUUUAGUGUGAUGGUUGGAAAGUUUUUUCGGUGUAGGAUGAGCUCGCGGCCUAUCAGCUUGUUGGUGGGGUAAUGGCCUACCAAGGCGGCGACGGGUAGCCGGCCUGAGAGGGUGGACGGCCACAUUGGGACUGAGAUACGGCCAAGACUCCUACGGGAGGCAGAAGUGGGGAAUAUUGCACAAUGGGCGCAAGCCUGAUGCAGGGAGGCCGCGUGGGGGAUGACGGCCUUCGGGUUGUAAACUCCUUUCGCUAGGGACGAAGCUUUUUGUGACGGUACCUAGAUAAGAAGCACCGGCUAACUACGUG
rnacentral:rRNA from 1 species